rnacentral:rRNA from 1 species
GACGUAGGAGGCGAGCGUUGUCCGGAUUCAUUGGGCGUAAAGAGCGCGCAGGCGGCUUGGUAAGUCGGAUGUGAAAUCCCGAGGCUCAACCUCGGGUCUGCAUCGAUACUGCCCGGCUAGAGGUAGGUAGGGGAGAUCGGAAUUCCUGGUGUAGCGGUGAAAUGCGCAGAUAUCAGGAGGAACACCGGUGGCGAAGGCGGAUCUCUGGGCCUUACCUGACGCUCAGGCGCGAAAGCUAGGGGAGCGAACUGG